rnacentral:rRNA from 1 species
UUGCUCUCUGGGUGGCGAGUGGCGGACGGGUGAGGAAUACAUCGGAAUCUACUUUUUCGUGGGGGAUAACGUAGGGAAACUUACGCUAAUACCGCAUACGACCUACGGGUGAAAGCAGGGGAUCUUCGGACCUUGCGCGAUUGAAUGAGCCGAUGUCGGAUUAGCUAGUUGGCGGGGUAAAGGCCCACCAAGGCGACGAUCCGUAGCUGGUCUGAGAGGAUGAUCAGCCACACUGGAACUGAGACACGGUCCAGACUCCUACGGGAGGCAGCAGUGGGGAAUAUUGGACAAUGGGCGCAAGCCUGAUCCAGCCAUACCGCGUGGGUGAAGAAGGCCUUCGGGUUGUAAAGCCCUUUUGUUGGGAAAGAAAUCCAGCUGGCUAAUACCCGGUUGGGAUGACGGUACCCAAAGAAUAAGCACCGGCUAACUUCGUGCCAGCAGCCGCGGUAAACGAAGGGUGCAAGCGUUCUCGGAAUUACUGGGCGUAAAGCGUGCGUAGGUGGUCGUUUAAUCCGUUGUGAAAGCCCUGGGCUCACCUGGGAACUGC